CCUACGGGUGGCAGCAGUGAGGAAUAUUGGUCAAUGGGCGGAAGCCUGAACCAGCCAAGUAGCGUGCAGGAUGACGGCCCUACGGGUUGUAAACUGCUUUUAUACGGGAAUAACGCGCCUUACGUGUAGGGCUUUGCAUGUACCGUAUGAAUAAGGACCGGCUAAUUCCGUGCCAGCAGCCGCGGUAAGACGGAGGGUCCGGGGGUUAUCCGGAGUUAUUGGGUGUAAAGGGAGCGUAGGCCGCAUUGCAAGAGGGCUGUGAAAUGGCCGGGCUCAACCCGGACCUUGAAGCGCGAACUGGCGUGCUUGAGUCCGCGGAAAGCAGGCGGAAUUCGUCGUGUAGCGGUGAAAUGCUUAGAUAUGACGAAGAACCCCGAUUGCGAAGGCAGCUUGCUGCAGCGGAACUGACGCUGAUGCUCGAAAGCGCGGGUAUCGAACAGGAUUAGAUACCCUAGUAGUC
rnacentral:rRNA from 1 species